rnacentral:rRNA from 1 species
AGCUCCAAUAGCGUAUAUUAAAGUUGUUGCAGUUAAAAAGCUCGUAGUUGGAUUUGUGGUUAAUGUAAGGCUUCCGUCCCUUUUGGGUUUUGAUGUUGCCUGAUGUUGCCGUCCUUGGGUGCAUUAGGUUGUUUUGCAGGGGAUGCCCAUCGUUUACUGUGAAAAAUUUGAGUUUUCAAAGCAGGCUUAUGCCGUUGAAUAUGUUAGCAUGGAAUAAUAAGAUAGGACCUUGGUACUAUUUUGUUGGUUUUCGCACCGAGGUAAUGAUUAAUAGGGACGGUUGGGGGUAUUUGUAUUCCAUUGUCAGAGGUGAAAUGUUUGGAUUUUUGGAAGUUUGACUACUGUGAAAGCAUUUACCAAGGAUAUUUUCA